rnacentral:ribozyme from 11 species
UUUUUUGUUGUUUCAUUUAUUUUGUUUUUUUUAUUUUUUUUUUUUUAUCCAUCAGACUGCAUUGAAACUCAUCAAC